rnacentral:rRNA from 1 species
CUGCUGCCUUCCGUAGGAGUCUGGUCCGUGUCUCAGUACCAGUGUGGGGGACCUUCCUCUCAGAACCCCUACGCAUCGUCGCCUCGGUGGGCCGUUACCCCGCCGACUAGCUAAUGCGCCGCAUGGCCAUCCUCUUCCGAUGAAUCUUUCCUCGAUCUCGGAUGCCCGAAACCGAUAUACGCGGGAUUAGCCUCCCUUUCGGAAGGUUGUCCCCCUGAAGAGGGCAGGUUGCAUACGUGUUACUCACCCGUGCGCCGGUCGCCGG